GAUCCCGUAGGUUCUAUUCUGACUGGUAGUGAGACAUAUUGAGAUCUCCAUCUCAAUAUCACUGAAACUCCUUUCAGUGGACUGAAACGAUUUCAGUUCUACUCUCAGGGUUCACUGAUCACCAAGUGAAUGCCUUCGAGUCUCACAAUCCACUAGUGACACUUAGCAGUAUAUGGUGGCAACCCAGCAGAAUGGAAUGUCUGAACCU
rnacentral:lncRNA from 1 species